UUUUAGGCCAAAUUACAAUAUGGCAUCAAUACAGACAUUUAUAUAACUUUUCUACUAUACUUAAAAUGUAUAGCACUUUAUAAGAAAAAGAAUAUUGUAAAUUGAUCCAUUAUUGGGAUAUAGCAGAAUUGAUGCAAGGAACAAGAAAGAGCUUUAUAUGUGAGAAGAGACUAGAUCAAAGGAAGACAAACUUGCUCACAGGUCAAAUCAAGCUUGCUUCCCUUUUGAAAAGAAAGCUGUAUUGCAACACAACAACAUCCAUUUAUUUACAAAUUGGGUAUGGUUACUUUUAUAUUAUAUUGCCACACCUAAGUAGUUGCAAAUGAGACCCCUUACAAAAAAGGUUUUCCAAAAAAUAGAUUGCAGUAUAUCAAUGUCUUAACAAACUACACUUUGUUUCUGGUUUGUGCUCACUUCUAAUACAGUUCAGAAGGGUCUCCACACAGUAUUUUACUGAAAAAUCAUUGCAGACUUUAUGCCUUUUUUUUUUUUUUGCCAAAAAGUGAAAUGCUACUAAAUGUUUCACAUAUGAAACAUUGUUUUUUAAAUUGUGCAGAUAAUACUUGAAAAUUUUCAUUACUAAAUUGUCUUGGUGCAAGAUUAGAACACAUGGAAUACUCAUGAACAUAUGUUAAUGCAGUGGUAUGGUAGGGACUUUCUCAGAACAAAGGAAAGGUAACAUGACACCAACAAAAUCACCAUGCACGUUCCACAACUCUGUUGUAAUAUUGUUGCAAAUCUAUAGUAUAAAAUAUAAUGCCCAAUUAGAAUGUAUAUAAUGUAUAUUACCUUAUAUGGGAGAAAAAGAGCUAGCAAAUAAAGAGGAACUAACAAGAGAUAUAUAAGGCAACAUCUGCUUUGGGACCUCAGCCUUUGAAUAGGACCAGUGCCAACACUAAUAUGCUCUGCUUCCUGCUGAAUGCCCCGGUUCCUGGUCUCUCUGUGGAAGAAUCCUGUAACAGUGGCAAUGGUGAUGCAGUGAAAUAUGGUAAACUAGUUCUAAGAAUCAGGUGAGACAGGCAUCAUCUUUCCAAUGUUCUUCUUCAGUUAAUGCAGAGGUGGGAAUGAGAACAUGAAAAUUCACACAAUGUCUUUUAAAACUCCCUUCUGUUUUAUUUUCAUUACAUUGAACUAUCUAAGUCAUAUGGCCACAUUUAAUUCAAAGAAUGGAUGUGAUUUCCUACCAGUUGUGUGGAAAGAAGAGUCUAUGUAUAUUUUUGUAAACAAUCCUUAUGAGAGCAACAGUGUCCAAAGAAAUAGAAGAAAGUGGAAGAAAUAUUUGAAAUAUUUAUACACGAUCAUGAUGAAGUCAUUGCCAGACAUGGAGUAUCAUGAAGUAUCUGAUAGCUUUAGACAAAGCUAUCAGAUACUUCAUGAUAUCACAAAUAUAUUGGUAAAAACCACAGUAAGUUAAACAGGAGUGAUAUAUGAGGAUAUAUAUAUAGUGAUAUGUGAGGAUAUGUUUAUUUUAAUGUCAUUUUGUGCUCCUCUAGGGACAAAUAAAUAUUACCUAUAGUCUUACUUUCUUAUACUUAAUUUUAAUGAGUACUGAUUUCCACACUAUUCACACAUCCUAUUUUUUUUCCCCAGAAGUAACAUGUAAUCCUCCUUAUAUUCCAAAUGGUGUUUACUCACCUCAAAGGAUUAAGCACAGAACUGGAGAUGAAAUCAGAUAUGAAUGUAAAAGUGGUUUUUAUCCUGCAACCAGGGGAAAUACUGCAAAAUGUACAAGUAGU
rnacentral:lncRNA from 1 species